CUCGUCCCAAAUAUGGUAAAUUCACAAAGUAAGCGUAAAAUACACAGCUUUUGCAGCAUUAUUUACGUGAAACAAAUUAAUUCCAAGAUUUGUUUUACUCAGAUCUUUCCAAAAUCGGAAUAGACUUUUUUCUUUUGCUUUUCUUUUAAAAUUAUUCAGUCAAAAGUUGAUUAUUGCUAUCUUAUUUGUUGUACUAUGUUCAUUUUGCUCGACUUUCAUUGGUUGGGGAUGAAUGGGUUGGAUCGAGUCCAACGAGGCUCAAGUCUGACCAUUCAUUUGUUGUUGCAAUCAUUUUGAGCGAUAGAUUUUGUUUUACAAAGUUAAUUUCCGGGAGAAAUUAGUUGUCCCACAUCGGUAAUUUUGAGGGUUUUGAACAAUUUUAGGGUUCUAUAAAUAGAACCACACCCUCACUAAGAAUAGAGGUCGGAAAAUAGGAAAAAUUAUUAAAGAGGCAAGAAAUUUCGAAUUCAAGCCUCUCAAUAUAAAAAAAUUUAAACUUUGACUUGAGUUGAGGUUUUCUUAGUUCUAAAAAAUCGUUUUCUUGCUUGUUUUGUGUCUGGUGUGGCUGAGUGUGGGUUUUGGAAGCACAAAAAGGCUUUCAAAUUCGAUCUUGUCUACGGCUGCACCUAAAAAAGCAUAUUCCACUCCAACCCAAGAGAAAACAAGGAUCAAGAGGCAAGAAUCAAGAUGAUAGCUGGGUAUUGAAGUCUUGCGAGGGUUAGUAGACUACAAGAAAUUCUUGGGUAUUGAGGCUAGGGUUUUCACAUAAGUUGAUAGCUGCUCCAAAGCUCAUUCUUAUGAGAUAAAAGAUUGUUCAAGCUUCGACAGUGAACGUUAAGUAUUUAAGAAGACAAAGAGGUAUGUAAAGCUAACCCUUCUUUCAUUAAGGCCUGAUUACUUUGCUAUAUACCUUUCCAUGGGUCCAAAAUAUCUUUUAAACGACUUUACCUCUAAAAUUACAAAAGCUCAUGAUUCUCGAUAUUUGUGAUGCUAUUACCUCUUUUAUAUGACAGUUGAUCCUCUAAGGAAAGAUGUAAUGAAAACGAUGUUGGGGAUGAUACUUAUGGGCUAGUAUGUAUACGAUUAUAAGUAUGAAUGGCUGUUAUGUAACACUGAGCUUAUAUGGCCGAGUAUGAUAUUUAUCGUGCGCACACCACUGCAGUUGGGUACGGAUAACACCGAGUCUUGGUAGGGCCAGGUAUGUAAAACACUGAACCUUAGCAUGGUCAGGUAUACAAGACCCCGAACCUUUAUGGUCGGGUAUGAUAUUUCUAAAUGUAUGAACUUAUGAAAUGGAAGUUUCCCAUUAGAAUGAGGGUAAGUAAAUAUGACGAACGUCGCUAGAGGUAUACCUAGCCCUUUCAUUUCAUAACUCAUCUAUCUUAUACUAUUUCUUAUGCUUUCGUUAUGUUAUUGAUCAUGCUUUACAUACUCAGUACAUUAUUCGUACUGACGUCUUUUUGUUUGUGGACACUGCAUCAUGCUCGCACGUGGACAGGGAGACAGACUUGAUCCAUAGAUUAUUUGUUCAGGGACUGCAUAGAGGAGCUCCAUUUGAUCCGGAGCUGCAGCUGUUGGUACUAUACUUUUGUGUACAUACAUAUGGUAUGGCGAGGUCUUGUCCCGUUCGUAUGAUGUUACAUACUUUCUUUAGAGGCUC